UACGUAGGGUGCAAGCGUUAAUCGGAAUUACUGGGCGUAAAGCGUGCGCAGGCGGUUGUGCAAGACAGAUGUGAAAUCCCCGAGCUCAACCUGGGAACUGCAUUUGUGACUGCACGGCUAGAGUGUGUCAGAGGGGGGUAGAAUUCCACGUGUAGCAGUGAAAUGCGUAGAUAUGUGGAGGAAUACCGAUGGCGAAGGCAGCCCCCUGGGAUAACACUGACGCUCAUGCACGAAAGCGUGGGGAGCAAACAGG
rnacentral:rRNA from 1 species